rnacentral:rRNA from 1 species
CCCUGCCAUUUGUACACACCGCCCGUCGCUCCUACCGAUUGGAUGGUCCGGUGAGAACGUCGGAUCACGCGUUUGUACGGAGUGUCUAUUUUAGAUACUCUCUAACGCGAGAGAAGUUGUUCGAACCUUACCAUCUAGAGGAAGGAGAAGUCGU